rnacentral:lncRNA from 1 species
GGUAGUAAUGGAGGUCCACAAAUCCGAAGUCAAAACUUAUCCUAGAAGGAAUUGAAUGAAGCCACAAUACUAAUUUUCCUUUCUCUUUUUUAUAUAAUUUCAACAAAUUAGCCUUUACAGUAUUCCUUGAUACUAACUUGGCCUCCUCACAAACAUAAGCAAAUAAAGAUCUAAUGCCUUCAUACUCAACAAAUUGAAAUGGUAGAUCAUGCUUAAUAAUUGCAAGUGUUAGCAAUUCACGAAAUUUGUUAGGAUUAAACUUAGUAGAAC